CCUACGGGAGGCAGCAGUGAGGAAUAUUGGACAAUGGGCGCAAGCCUGAUCCAGCCAUGCCGCGUGCAGGAAGACGGUCCUAUGGAUUGUAAACUGCUUUUGUACAGGAAGAAACACUCCCUCGUGAGGGAGCUUGACGGUACUGUAAGAAUAAGGAUCGGCUAACUCCGUGCCAGCAGCCGCGGUAAUACGGAGGAUCCAAGCGUUAUCCGGAAUCAUUGGGUUUAAAGGGUCCGUAGGCGGUUUAAUAAGUCAGUGGUGAAAUCUGGUCGCUCAACGAUCAAACGGCCAUUGAUACUGUUAGACUUGAAUUAUUAGGAAGUAACUAGAAUAUGUAGUGUAGCGGUGAAAUGCUUAGAUAUUACAUGGAAUACCAAUUGCGAAGGCAGGUUACUACUAAUGGAUUGACGCUGAUGGACGAAAGCUGGGGAGCGAACAGGAUUAGAUACCCUGGUAGUCCACGCCGUAAACGAUGGAUACUAGCUGUUCGGAGCAAUCUGAGUGNGUAGACGAAGUAGAGUAAGUAAGUACCACCGUCGGGAGGUAACGGUUACGUCGAAGAAAGUAGUUAAACGUUAAAAGGUAAAGUUAGUUACGGCGUGAGACGAGCGACGGACGACGACGAGGGAGGAGGAG
rnacentral:rRNA from 1 species